rnacentral:sRNA from 2 species
AUAUCUCUCCGUACGGGAAGGAUGAGAAGCUUCGAUUAAGGUUCGAUUCGAGCGCAGCGAGAAAGCGUUGCCGCAGGCA